GCUGCAAAAAAACAUCAAUAUCAUUACCUGGGCCCUUAUCACCUGGAAUAACCAUUGACAAAAUGAGUGAAGACUGUUUCAUACACAUCCAUGGUGGUAAAUUAUAUGGAACCAAAACAACCGGCCAAGUGCUGUAUGUAGAACUCAUAGUUCGAAAGGGAUUAAACCCAUCAGUAGCCAAACCCAGUCUGACACUGCGAGCAUCAGAAGCAAAAUUCGUGAUGCCUAUCAUCAAAUGCUUUCCAUGCUAAACUAUCUGCUGGGUGUCGUAACAUUCCAUCUUUUGUACGGC
rnacentral:lncRNA from 1 species